rnacentral:misc_RNA from 1 species
GAUUUGUUGUAUUAUUCAAUUCUUGGCUAACCCAUCAGUUACAAUGCUAUUCCCAUCCAUACAAUACAUUCUCCUCUACAUUCUUAUAUAUUCUCCCAGCUCCUGUUCUCUUUAUUAUCAUAUCAUAGCACAUGCUAGAAACAGCCAGUGCAUAAACAAGCAUUUUGGAGAGUGCAUAAAUUUUUAUCAAAAUGAUUGAAAUGUUUAAUAUACGUGCUAGAUUUGAGAGUAUCCUACAAUGAUUAAAAUGGCAUAAUGAAUAGGUGCAAGUACACUUGAUAAAAAGGAAACCAUCAAAUAUCAACUACAAAUCCAGUGGGAGAAGCUG